GACGAACGCUGGCGGCGUGCCUAAUACAUGCAAGUAGAACGCUGAAGAGAGGAGCUUACUCUUCUUGGAUGAGUUGCGAACGGGUGAGUAACGCGUAGGUAACCUGCCUUGUAGCGGGGGAUAACUAUUGGAAACGAUAGCUAAUACCGCAUAACAACGGAUGACACAUGUCAUUUUGUUAAAAGGGGCAAUUGCUCCACUACAAGAUGGACCUGCGUUGUAUUAGCUAGUAGGUGAGGUAAUGGCUCACCUAGGCGAAGAUACGUAGACGACCUGAGAGGGGGAUCGCCCACAUGGGAACGGGGACAGGGCCAAUACUCCUACGGGAGGCACCAGAAGGGAACCUGCGGCAAUGGGGGAAACCUGACCGAGCAACGCCGCGGGAGGGAAGAAGGGUGUCGGAUCGUAAAGCACUGUUGUAAGUCAAGAACGGGUGUGAGAGUGGAAAGUUCACACUGUGACGGUAGCUUACCAGAAAGGGACGGCUAACUACGUG
rnacentral:rRNA from 1 species